rnacentral:rRNA from 1 species
UACGUAGGGCGCAAGCGUUGUCCGGAAUUAUUGGGCGUAAAGAGCUCGUAGGCGGCCUGUUACGUCUGCUGUGAAAUCCCGGGGCUUAACCCCGGGCGUGCAGUGGAUACGGGCAGGCUGGAGGCAGGCAGGGGAGAACGGAAUUCCCGGUGUAGCGGUGAAAUGCGCAGAUAUCAGGAGGAACACCGAUGGCGAAGGCAGAUCUCUGGGCCGUAACUGACGCUGAGGAGCGAAAGCGUGGGGAGCGAACAGG